AAGCGAUCCUCCCAACUCGGCCUCCAAAAGUUUACAGGCGUGAGCCACGGUGCCCAGCCUCCUGUGCCUUUUAAUUCACUGAUGCAAUUGUUGAUCCAGCCCUGUCAGCCCCGAGGGUAGGGUCUGAGGUUGCUGCUGUAUCCCUGGCACUCAGUGGAGGCUUGGCCCAAAGAAAGAGGUUUUUUUGUUUUUUUUUUUUUUUCCCAAGACGGGAGUCUCACUCUGUCACCCAGGCUGGAGUGCAGUGGCAUGAUCUCAGCUCACUGCAACCUCUGCCUCCUGGGUUCAAGCGAUUCUUCUGCCUCAGCCUACCGAGUAGCUGGGAUUACAGGCACGUGUCAACACGCCCAGCUAAUUUUUGUAUUUUUAGUAGAGAUGGGUUUUCACCAUGUUGGCUAGGUUGGUCUCAAACUCCUGACCUCAGGUGAUCCACCCACCUCAGCCUCCGAAAGUGCCUGGAUUACAGGCGUAAGCCACUGCGCUCGGCCCAAAUUUUCUCCCCAGGAAUCUGGAACGAUGAAGGUGAUGAUUGUGCCUGUGGCCAAGACCGGGAGAACCCUGGAUCCCUACACCUUCCCCACCCCUGGAAUGUCACUAUACAUAUCUGACUUCUUCUGAUGUUGCCUUUGACCCUAAAGUCAAUAUGAUAAAGUAACAAGAAGCUGGGACAGAGGAACAAACACAGCCCACUCAAGCAGUGGUGGCAACAUUCUGUUAGAAAGGAGGGGAGUCAAAGAAAAAAACACCCCUCCGCCCAUCUCCUUAUCACCUCCCUAAA
rnacentral:lncRNA from 10 species